GUUCUGGGAUAGCUCAGUUGGUAGAGCAUGAGACUCUUAAUCUCAAGGUUGUGGGUUCGAGUCCCACUUUGGGCA